UCAACCGUGUCAAUUAUGAUCAUU
rnacentral:siRNA from 1 species